UGAGGAAGGAAGGCUCUGUGAUGGAAGGACACCCAGAAAGGGCCAGGCUGCAGGGGAGGAGGGCCUGCCCUGCUGUUCACUGUGCCACUCUCUGUCACCCUUGUCCUCCCCAGGCUCCUCACUCUGACCGAGCACCCUGGAACCAUCCCUGAGCAGCCUGGCACAGCCCACGCUCAGCUAGCUGCUGCUUUGCACAAAGCCCCGUCUGGCUCAGGGCGGGUUGGGGGAGGGGUGCAGGCUUGGGGCGGUUGGUCGGGCCUCCAAGCACUGCUCCACACCUGCCUCUUGCAGGUGCGUUGCAUUGAGGCUGCUCCCAUUUCACAGAGAUGCAUCUUUCUUGUCGCUUCUGAGUUCCAGCUUCGGCUUCACAUUGGUGUCUCGACCCCUCAAGGCAGGCUGGCCGGCCUCCAGGCUCUUGGCACUGCCUUCCGGAGCCAACCACACCCUCGGCAGGACCAGGCCCAACCAGGAAAUUGCAUUCCAGCCGCUGUUGUCCUGGGCACGGCGGCCCGCCCCGGACUGGCUUCGCAUUGUCUAUUUGUCUUAGUUAAGUUGUACACUGAAGGAUGAAAAGCAGUGGGAUUUUCCUGUUGCAUGGCAGACUGAGUGCCUAGGAUGAGCCCACCAAGGAAGACGCUGGUGGGUCCCAGUGGCUAAAUCUUUACCCACGUUUCUGGGGAGGAGAGCACGGCUAGGCCUCUGCGGGGGGUUCGGGGGGCGCACCUGGGCUGCUGACCUGCGUGGACUCCGUGGAGUCUGUUCAGACCACUGGUGACUUUCAGCGGCUGGCAGGGACAGAGGGACGUGGGGAGGUGGGGACUUGGGGACAGAGCCUGCAUUGUUCCCACUUGUUGGUGCUCCUGGUGAGGAAUCGGGGCUGGAGACAGUCAGGGCGCCUCCCUCCAUGGGCAGGAGGAUGUUCUGCUCCUCUCUCUGGGCCGGAGGCCCGUCCGAGUCUGCACAUCAAGUGCCGGCAUAAUCUGCUCUUUCCGGUGAAACUGGCAGGAAUGUGGUCUGGAUGGCGUUUCCCUUUUUUGAUAGUGACAUAUUUGGAUAAUAAUAAAGAACUUCCCUUAAAAAUAUCCAAAUACUGAAUUGCCCGGAAAGUGCUCGAAAGAGGAACAGACUCCGUUAUGUGGCCGUAACAAGCCAGCCCGGGAGCAGGCCAGAUCUCCCAGGGGCUUCCUGGCCGGGAGGUCCCCGUGGGUGCCAGGCAGAAGCUGAGGUGUCAGCUAUCAGGUCAGGGAAAGAGGAGCAGGAAGGCUGGGUCCUGCGGGCUCCCACUGGAACGUGGGACUGUCACUUCCUGUCGCUUUCCAUGUGGGCCCUCCUGCCCCUAGGGCAGGGGGCACGGAGGGGACCCCCUGCUAUGUGCUCUGAGGGUGGACAUCCUGGACGUAGGUUCAGCGUAACACUUCACUUCUCUUUCGUUUUGGUCUGGCUCAGGGUCAUUUUGGGGGAAGCUGGACACACAGCCACUGUCAGCCUGCAGAGAGUCGAGCCCGGAGACUCCGGGCUGAGAGAAGCCUGCGUCGUCGGGCACUUCUGUUUCCCCCAACGUCCCCCCUAAGGGGAACUGGGAGCGGGUUACCUAAGCGGCCGUCUCGCCCACCUUCGGCCAGGGUCUUGAGGGCUUGCCCACUUGAGCCUCCUUCCCUGGAAUGUUCCGUACCCCAUCAACGCCAGAGAGGCAUGUGGUCUGAAGGGUGGGGCGCGGACAGACCGCCCAGCAGGCCACCUUCCCUGGCUCCGGAGGGGUCCUGCGAUGGCAGCCCCGCAGCAGCUGAUGUCCCUGACUUGCCAGGAGCUGCCUGCUUUCCUUGUGGGGCUGAGUCACGUCCUGGAUCCGCUCUGGGCAGCUGUGACUUCUGGUCGGGUAGAAAUGUUUCUGGUUGAGCUGUCAGUGACUGAAUGUCCUUCCUGCCCUGAGAGGAAAGUUUCAGCUCUGGAAAAUUACCGGAACAGGAUCAGUUACAUCAUUAGAGCAGAAAAUACAAUUGCCAACCAGCCUGGAAGUCCCAGGAGGGGCAGGUCCAGAAGUCACAGAGCUCCCCAACCUGCACAGGUGACACCACCAUCCCUAAUGCACGUGUGUGAUGACAUUUGUGUCUGUGGACACUGAUGAUCUGAAUACUUGUGUCACCCCCCCUUCCUCCUCUCUGAUGGAGCAGAAAAUGCAACUCCACUCCCAGCUCCCUCUGUUGCUGGUUGGGGCGUUUGUCCCUCCUGUGUGGGCGUCCCACCAGCACCCACGGUCAAGCUCCGUCAGUCCCAGGAAAGGUUCCUAAAUGCUCCAGAGAAGCCACUUGGGAAGCUGCCCAUGGCUCAGCCUGGACGGAGCCCCUGAACUGGACAGAUGGAAGCGGGGACAGCCCGACCAGCCUGACCAGCGACAGGCUUCCAGAGCGAGGGGAUUCCCAGCCACACUUGGGACUAAAGGAGAGAGCCUGUUGACAAAGCCACACAAGGCACAUGAGCAUGCCUGCGGACGGCACCCACCCACCCAGGCUUCUCCGAGAUCCAGUGCCCGCCAUGAGGGCCAGCAUGCAGGGAGCGCCCUGGGCCUCAGUUUGUCUCUCUGUAAGGCGGGUACCCAGCAGGGCUGUAGUGAGGGUCAAUGAGACAACACCACAGGGUGCCAGGACACUGUGAGCCAUCAAUAACGCUGGCCCUGGGGUCACCGACCCAUCACUCACUCCCAUUUAGGAAACACCGAUUAGGCUGAUCACUGUCCUGCUUAUAGCCCUAGAGAACCCGUCCCUGAAGGUGGGGUGCGUCUCCUGCUGCUGCUGUGACAAAUCACCCGAGCCCGGGGCUGGAACAGCACACGGUCACCGUGGUACAGCCCUGGAGAACCCAAGUCCCACCAGGUCCCAGUGGGCUCCAGGUGUCCACGGGAUGAAGUUCCUUCUGGAGGCUCCAGGGGGAGUCCUGCCUGUUCCAGCUCUCAGGGGCCGCCAGAUUCCUCGGCUCACGGCCCUUCCUCCCAAAACCCUGACAUGUGCUUCCCUUCUCACGUCUUCUCUGGCUCUGACCCUCCUGCCUGCUUCCACUCAGGACCCUUGAGAUUCAUGGGCCCACUCAGAUCAUCGGGAUCAACUCCUGUCUCAGGUUCACAGCCUUUGCCAGGGCCACCCCUGUGCCCACCAGUCCCAAUACUCGUCAGAUUCACACACUGUUUUGGACAAACGGAUGAAGGACCUGGGAGACACUCAGGACAGUGGGACAGAAGGGCAUUUCAGCCCAUUACACAGACCCAACACGCCUGAGAAGCAGGACACCUGUCAGCAAGCAGAGCAAAGUCCUCGCCCAGGUUCCUUGGGCCCUGAGUUCCUGCCUGGACCUCUGAGCUCCUUGCACGGCGUAAAGACCCCCAGCUGGGGUGUGCCCACCUCCAGCUGCGAGGAGUGGAGUGGGUGUGGGAGCCUGUGCGGGGCCUGUGUCGGUCUCUCCCACCCAGCUCGGCGGGCAUGGCAGCAUUACACCCCCCAGGGUGAUGGCUGCGGUCCCAGGGGAGGGGUUUCAGAGCUUCUGUCAAAAUCUCUGUCCACUGAUUCGUUCUAGUGCUUCUCCGACUCCUCCCCCAUCCUAGCGCCCGGAUGCGGUGGAGAACAAAGCCAGAGGUCCCUCCUGGAGAGGCAGGUGCCACUGGGUGAGACGGCUGCCCCUGAGAUUUAACCACGGUCACAAGCCAUGAUAGCGUACGUUUAGGAGUGACAAGGAGCUACGUGCUCACCCGUCCCAGGCCCUCACCUGGCCCGGGGUCUGAGGAUGAGGGUGGGCGAGCAGCCCAUGCAAAGGUCCUAGAAGGAGCUGGGAUGAGAGAAGGCAGUGGGCUGGAACCCAGUGGAGGGGACGGUGCCAGGUUUGGGGCACAUGGCUCCCUCCAGGCCAUUAUCCUCGUGCAGGGGGAGGUGUGGGAGGUGGGAGGGAUCUGACCUGCAGUUUUCAGAGGGCCCCUGCCCCUCCUCCCACUCCCUAGGCCACGGAUGGGGUCGUAGUCAUGGGGUUUUAUAUGGGUCAUCCAGUGCCAACACGAAGACUGGGCCUGGCGGUGGGGGACGCAAAGCCGGGGCCCGGCUGUCACAGGUGAUCUCUGUGGUGGAAGAGGAAGAGGAGGUGAUGAAAGAAGAGCCGAACUCUGGGUCCCCACGGCAUCACAGGGCUCCCGGGGAAGAAAGAUUUGGGGCCAGCUAGGUUUUCGGGGGGCCAGGCCCCUCGCUGCAUGACUCCCCAGGUCCCCAUCAGUACAGACCUCCAAGGGUGGCUGGGCCCACCUGGUGCCCCAGCCUGUCUGGCCUCUGAGUCCUUGCUGAUAAUGUCAUCUCGUGGCUAGUAACCCAGGUGGGCUGCCUGCAGGUGGGGGUGGUGACGCGGCCUUUGAAACUCAGUCCCACGUGACGGUCACAGAGCACUUGGAUUCAACUUUAAGUUCAAUAUAAAAUUUUAAACCGAUGCUCAAUUCCAGUUACUGAAAACUUUCAAGUAUGUUUGGGACAACUUACAUUUUUUACUAUAAAUGUUAUGAAAUUUAAGUAUGAUCGACAAUUUCUGAUAACAAUUUAGUAUCUGAAUUUAGAUGUGCUGAGGAGUGAAACACACAUUGGUUUUGAAGACAGUAGAAAAAGGGAAAGUGAAAUUUCUCAUGAAUAACUCCUUAUAUCAAUUUCAUGUUGAAAUGAUUUUUUUGGUAUAUUAGAUUAAAUUCAAAGGUAUUAAAAUUAC